rnacentral:rRNA from 1 species
CCUACGGGUGGCAGCAGUGGGGAAUAUUGCACAAUGGGGGAAACCCUGAUGCAGCGACGCCGCGUGAGUGAAGAAGUAUUUCGGUAUGUAAAGCUCUAUCAGCAGGGAAGAAGAAAGACGGUACCUGACUACGAAGCCCCGGCUAACUACGUGCCAGCAGCCGCGGUAAUACGUAGGGGGCAAGCGUUAUCCGGAUUUACUGGGUGUAAAGGGAGCGUAGACGGCUGUGCAAGUCUGAAGUGAAAGCCCAGGGCUCAACUCUGGGACUGCUUUGGAAACUGUUGAGCUAGAGUGCUGGAGAGGUAAGUGGAAUUCCUAGUGUAGCGGUGAAAUGCGUAGAUAUUAGGAGGAACACCGAUUGCGAAGGCAUCUCACGAAUCCGCGAUUGACGCUGAUGCACGAAAGCGUGGGUAUCAAACAGGAUUAGAUACCCGGGUAGUC